UACGGAGGGGGCUAGCGUUGUUCGGAAUUACUGGGCGUAAAGCGCACGUAGGCGGCUUUGCAAGUUAGAGGUGAAAGCCCGGGGCUCAACUCCGGAAUUGCCUUUAAAACUGCAUCGCUAGAAUUGUGGAGAGGUAAGUGGAAUUCCGAGUGUAGAGGUGAAAUUCGUAGAUAUUCGGAAGAACACCAGUGGCGAAAGGCGAUUUACU
rnacentral:rRNA from 1 species